rnacentral:rRNA from 1 species
GACGAACGCUGGCGGCGUGCUUAACACAUGCAAGUCGAACGAAGUGGCGAACGGGUGAGUAACGCGUAAUCAACCUGCCCUUCAGAGGGGGACAACAGUUGGAAACGACUGCUAAUACCGCAUACUGAAGGAGGGGAUUGCGUCUGAUUAGCUAGUUGGAGGGGUAACGGCCCACCAAGGCGAUGAUCAGUAGCCGGGUUGUGAGGAUGAACGGGCACAUUGGGACUGGGACACGGCCCAGACUCCUACGGGAGGCAGCAGGGGGGAAUCUUCCGCAAUGGAGGAAAGUCUGACGGAGCAACGCCGGUGGGGGGAUGCCGGCCUUCGGGUUGUAAAUCUCUGUUAAUCGGGACGCGGUACCGGAAUAGAAAGCCACGGCUAACUACGUGCCAGCAGCCGCGGUAAUAC